rnacentral:rRNA from 1 species
UGCCCAGUGACCCCAGUUCAACGGCCGCGGUACCCUGACCGUGCAAAGGUAGCAUAAUCACUUGUUCCCUAAAUAGGGACUUGCAUGAAUGGCCACACGAGGGUUGCACUGUCUCUUGCUUUCAAUCAGUGAAAUUGACAUUCUCGUGAAGAGGCGAGAAUAAAAAAAUUAGACGAGAAGACCCUAUGGAGCUUUAAUUAACUAACUCACAACAACCCCAGAAACCAUUCGAAAGAAAUAAGCUCUACCUGACUGAGUUAGCAAUUUAGGUUGGGGCGACCUCGGGAUAAAAAUAAACUCCCGAGAAAGUACAUCAAGACCUACCAGUCAAAAUUACAAUACUACACAUUGAUCCACUAUUAAGUGAUCAACGGAACAAGUUACCCUAGGGAUAACAGCGCAAUCCUAUUUAAGAGUCCAUAUCGACAAUUUAGGGUUUACGACCUCGAUGUUGGAUCAGGACAUCCCAAUGGUGCAGCAGCUAUUAAUGUGUUCGUUUGUUCAACGAUUAA